rnacentral:tRNA from 2 species
GGAGCGGUAGUUCAGUUGGUUAGAACGCCUGCCUGUCACGCAGGAGGUCGCGGGUUCAAGUCCCGUCCGUUCCGCCA